rnacentral:rRNA from 1 species
GUGGGGAAUCUUGCGCAAUGGGCGAAAGCCUGACGCAGCCAUGCCGCGUGAAUGAUGAAGGUCUUAGGAUUGUAAAAUUCUUUCACCGGGGACGAUAAUGACGGUACCCGGAGAAGAAGCUCCGGCUAACUUCGUGCCAGCAGCCGCGGUAAUACGAAGGGGGCUAGCGUUGCUCGGAAUUACUGGGCGUAAAGGGCGCGUAGGCGGACAGCUUAGUCAGAGGUGAAAGCCCAGGGCUCAACCUUGGAAUUGCCUUGGAUACUGGCUGUCUUGAGUUUGGGAGAGGUGAGUGGAACUCCGAGUGUAGAGGUGAAAUUCGUAGAUAUUCGGAAGAACACCAGUGGCGAAAGCGACUCACUGGCCCGUUACUGACGCUGAGGCGCGAAAGCGUGGGGAGCAAACAGGAUUAGAUACCCGGGUAGUCC